rnacentral:tRNA from 1 species
ACGGAAAUAGCUCAGAUGGGACAGCGUUAGACUAUGAAUCGAAAGUUCCUGGUUCGAUUCCAGAUUACUGCA